rnacentral:lncRNA from 1 species
AAAACCCAACUCAACAUUCUUUGGCUUUUUUCGAAAGCUCCAUCUCUCGAUAAAGCAACAAACAUUUGCUACUUUUGAGGUGAGUUAGUAUUUAUUACGUGCUUAGCCUUAUAUUUUUCUUGAAAUCUGGGUUCUCUUUUGCUGCUUGUUUUGUAUUCCAACCUUAAGCUAUUUGUUAUAAGUGUGAUUACUUGAUGUCUUAUGAAUGUUGGUUCAAUGUUGUAUAUUUUUGUUCUUGUACAAGGUUAUUCUUUUAAAAUCAGUAAACCCCAUUUCAUUUUUCAUGGGGGUUUGCGCUUUAUUGGUCCUCGUUUGGUAAUUCUUGAAAAAGGAUCCGCUCUUUGUAACUGAGUAGUAUUGAGAGUUCUCUUGAAUUAAGGUUAGUUUAUCUUUGGAUUUAGAAAAAAUUUGUUUGUGUUUCAUUUGGGGUUGUGGUUUGAUGUUGUUUUAUCAUUGUUUAUAUGGUCAUUCGGAGCUAAUCUUUGCAAAAAGCUCUUCUUUCUGUCUAAUAUUCUCAGUUACAAUCUUUUCUGUUUGUUCGACCGGAAAAAUCCCUUUGUGUCUUACUCCUUUAUCUUUUAUUUUUAUUUUAUGUCAUGAUAUUGCGAAGAUCUAUUGUGUUGAAUGUGUAGUAUGCAGUUUAGAUCUUUUUUUUAUCCUUUUCUUCCCUUUACAUUUUCCCCUUGUGCAUUUAUAUUGUGAUCCUUAGUAUCAUGCAUGUUUGGUAUUCGUAUUAAUGUAGAUGCAUUUUUCAACGUAGAUACGUUUUGUGUUGUUCUUUGAUGUUCGGGUAGAUGCCAAUUAAUUACUAGCCUAGUUUAGAACCUCUAAUUAUAGCUCGGGAUCAUUUAUACUAGUCUUUGAUCUGAUGUAUUUGGUAAAUGUUGUCAUAAUAUCUUUUUCAUAUUUCAUCAAUGAAUUCUUUUUCUUCUUGAUGAUUAUAUGCACUUGAAGAAUUUAAAGCUUGUGUGCUCAUAAAGAUUAAGAUUACACCUGAUAGAUGAUCUACCCCAUAGCCACCUAUGGAAUUGUGGUCCUUGAACGUCCUUGUUUUUAGCUAUAUACAAUUGGAUCUAUGUAGAAAGAAUCUUAUAAAUUAUGUUUAGCUUAACUUAAAUCUUCUAUGCAUUAUAGUAAAUUUAACUUCCCUUAUCUUGUAGAUACCCCGACAAGUGAAAAGAGAAGAAGUGCCUUAAUGGCUGGUCACAUAUCUGAUGAUGACUCUGAAAAUAUAACCUGAGAAGAUCCUUCAAUGCAAGAACCUAGGGGGAGUAGAAGUGCCGUUGAGAGUGACCAUUCUAGUAUCAGAAAUAUAAUGACUGGUAAUCAGAUUGCAAAAGCCAAACCAC